UAAAUUUCAAAACUUUUUCUCAACAGCCUUUCAAUUUAAACUCUGACUCUCAUUAUGUGUGUCAACUUAUUUUUAAUCUUCCAGGUGCUU